UACGUAGGUGGCAAGCGUUGUCCGGAAUUAUUGGGCGUAAAGCGCGCGCAGGCGGCCUUUUAAGUCUGAUGUGAAAGCCCACGGCUUAACCGUGGAAGGUCAUUGGAAACUGGAAGGCUUGAGUACAGAAGAGGAAAGCGGAAUUCCACGUGUAGCGGUGAAAUGCGUAGAGAUGUGGAGGAACACCAGUGGCGAAGGCGGCUUUCUGGUCUGUAACUGACGCUGAGGCGCGAAAGCAUGGGGAGCAAACAGG
rnacentral:rRNA from 1 species